GUCCACGCCGUAAACGAUGUCGACUUGGAGGUUGUGCCCUUGAGGCGUGGCUUCCGGAGCUAACGCGUUAAGUCGACCGCCUGGGAGUACGGCCGCAAGGUUAAACUCAAAUGAAUUGACGGGCCCGCACAAGCGGUGGAGCAUGUGGUUUAAUUCGAUGCAACGCGAAGAACCUUACCUGGUCUUGACAUCCACGGAAGUUUUCAGAGAUGAGAAUGUGCCUUCGGGAACUCAGACACAGGUGCUGCAUGGCUGUCGU
rnacentral:rRNA from 1 species